rnacentral:rRNA from 1 species
UACGGAGGGGGCUAGCGUUGUUCGGAAUUACUGGGCGUAAAGCGCACGUAGGGGGCUUUGCAAGUUAGGGGGGAAAGCCCGGGGCUCAACUCCGGAAUUGCCUUUAAAACUGCAUCGCUAGAAUUGUGGAGAGGUAAGUGGAAUUCCGAGUGUAGAGGUGAAAUUCGUAGAUAUUCGGAAGAACACCAGUGGCGAAGGCGACUUACUGGACACAUAUUGACGCUGAGGUGCGAAAGCGUGGGGAGCAAACAGG